AAUUUAUGAUAAUUUAUUCAGAUCUCCUUUUCUUCUAGUCUUUGCAAGCUUGAAGUUUCACUUGGUGUGAGAGAGUUGUUCCUUACCCUCUAAGUGAUUUUUUUCUUUUCCUUUCUCUUCGAUCUCGUCACCUAUGGGUGUUCAAACAAUUGAUUCAGUUAAUACCUGAACAAUACUAUCAUUAACUGAAAUUUUGAAACCCUUAAUCGUUAAUCAGACCAAUUUUUUUAAACUAUUAGCCAGCCGGAUUGAUUUCGGUUAAUUUGAGCGGUUAACCAGAAAUUAUACAUCGUUUAUUUUUGUUCAAACAAUUUUAAAACAAAGAACAAUCCAUGACAAUUGUUUCCUUGUUUUUUAUUGAAAAAAUUAAAAGAAUUAAAAAAAUAACAUAAUAACAACACUAAAUUAAAAACAUAAUAGCAUUCAUUACAUUAUAUAUAUAUAUAUAUAUAUAUAUAUUUACUUUUUCUUCACUUUUUAGUUUAAUUUUAUUUUUUUUCAAAUAUUUUUAGUUUUCAUAUUUUUGUUAAGCUUAUUAUAAGAAAACUUAUAAAUCCAUUAGUUUUUAUAUAUUUGGUUUGUAUAAUGUAUUGGACUUAUCUCUAAUAUAUUUGGCCUAUAAUAUACUUUUAUUGAUUUCGGUUAAUUAGUUGAUUUCAAACUAAACUAAUUGGAAAAUAAAAUCUUCAAAAACCUUUAACCAACUCCCAACUAAAUUAGAUUUGAUUGCUUAAUCAAAUUAAUUAGGUUUGAUAAACUAAUUCGUUAAAACCAAAAAAUGCACACCCUUAUCAUCACCUUUAUUUUUAGGGAUUUUAAUCAUGUUGCUCCACCUGAUGCAGAAGUUGAGGUGGAACGAACUGCUUGCUACCAAAAUUUAUGAAUUAUAGAGCAUGCUCCACCGUAUUGAAUCAAAUUCAGUGGAGUGGAAGACUUUUCUUCACUACUUUAUGCUCUAUGCUCCAAGUCUUCUAUUCUUUUUCAGAGACCUACAAUGGGAAAAUAAAAAAUAAGAAACAAGUCUGAAUUAACUUUGAAAAUUAGAAAUUUUCAACAAAAUUGAAAUAAAAUAUAAUUAAUCCAUAAAAACUAUAAAAUGCAAUAAAAACAAACCUAAAUACUAAAAUUACCUCCUAAAAUGCUAUGGAAACUAUACUAAAAUAACUCUAAAUAUGAUAGUUAUCAGAAGCGACUUGAAUAAGCCAAUCGAGUAGAUGAUUUCAACUAUUGCAAAUAGCAUCAGUCGAUUAACCAUCCUCUUGAGAAGAUCAUAGAGUUGAAAGAAAAAAUCAUACAAUUCCAUGAAGAAGAAAAAAUCAUGUUUGAAAAAGAAGUGGCAUUAUCAAACUUGACAUCAAUGCUUUGGUUUCUCAAUACAAUAUUAUGGACUGAUUCAUCAAAUUUGGCUCUUUCAAUCCUAUUACACUAGCUCUAAGUAGAAGUAAGAUGGUGAAUUUCGAAGGGAUUGGGGGCAAUCAUCUAUUUUUGGAAUAUCAGAAUGGUCAUGAUUGGACUCAAAGAAGCCAAUGAAAAGCAUCUCUCCUAGGUAUAAGCUUAUAUUGUCACAUUGCUCCUAAGCAUGAGCUUAAAUUGUUCAUCC
rnacentral:lncRNA from 1 species